rnacentral:lncRNA from 10 species
UGUGUGUGUGCACUUUUAUUCAACUGGUCUCAAGUCAGUGCACAGGUAAGCCCUGGCUGCCUUCACCCACUCCCAGGGACACCAAAAGCCUUCAUACAUCUCAAGCUGGGGGACAAAAAAGGGGGGGGGGGCACGAAGGCUCAUCAUUCAAAAUAAAAAAAAUAAGAAAGUAUUAAGGCGAAGAUUAAAAAAAUUUUGCAUUCCAUAAUUUACACGAAAGCAAUGCUAUCACCUCCCCUGUGUGGACUCGGUAGACGACUGGGCCAUUCUCCUUAGACAGAAGUGGGAACUUUGGGGGAUGCUCGCUCCAACCGACUGCUGUCACCUUCACUGUUCCAGUUUUUAAAUCCUGAGUCAAGCCAAAAAAAA